AGUGAACGCUGGCGGUAGGCCUAACACAUGCAAGUCGAACGGCAGCACAGUAAGAGCUUGCUCUUACGGGUGGCGAGUGGCGGACGGGUGAGGAAUACAUCGGAAUCUACUUUUUCGUGGGGGAUAACGUAGGGAAACUUACGCUAAUACCGCAUACGACCUACGGGUGAAAGCAGGGGAUCUUCGGACCUUGCGCGAUUGAAUGAGCCGAUGUCGGAUUAGCUAGUUGGCGGGGUAAAGGCCCACCAAGGCGACGAUCCGUAGCUGGUCUGAGAGGAUGAUCAGCCACACUGGAACUGAGACACGGUCCAGACUCCCACGGGAGGCAGCAGUGGGGAAUAUUGGACAAUGGGCGCAAGCCUGAUCCAGCCAUACCGCGUGGGUGAAGAAGGCCUUCGGGCUGUAAAGCCCUUUUGUUGGGAAAGAAAAGCAGCAGGUUAAUACCCCGCUGUUCUGACGGUACCCAAAGAAUAAGCACCGGCUAACUUCGUG
rnacentral:rRNA from 1 species